rnacentral:rRNA from 1 species
AGAGUUUGAUCCUGGCUCAGGAUGAACGCUAGCUACAGGCUUAACACAUGCAAGUCGAGGGGCAGCAUGGUCUUAGCUUGCUAAGGCCGAUGGCGACCGGCGCACGGGUGAGUAACACGUAUCCAACCUGCCGUCUACUCUUGGACAGCCUUCUGAAAGGAAGAUUAAUACAAGAUGGCAUCAUGAGUCCGCAUGUUCACAUGAUUAAAGGUAUUCCGGUAGACGAUGGGGAUGCGUUCCAUUAGAUAGUAGGCGGGGUAACGGCCCACCUAGUCUUCGAUGGAUAGGGGUUCUGAGAGGAAGGUCCCCCACAUUGGAACUGAGACACGGUCCAAACUCCUACGGGAGGCAGCAGUGAGGAAUAUUGGUCAAUGGGCGAGAGCCUGAACCAGCCAAGUAGCGUGAAGGAUGACUGCCCUAUGGGUUGUAAACUUCUUUUAUAAAGGAAUAAAGUCGGGUAUGCAUACCCGUUUGCAUGUACUUUAUGAAUAAGGAUCGGCUAACUCCGUGCCAGCAGCCGCGGUAAUACGGAGGAUCCGAGCGUUAUCCGGAUUUAUUGGGUUUAAAGGGAGCGUAGAUGGAUGUUUAAGUCAGUUGUGAAAGUNUGCGGCUCAACCGUAAAAUUGCAGUUGAUACUGGAUAUCUUGAGUGCAGUUGAGGCAGGCGGAAUUCGUGGUGUAGCGGUGAAAUGCUUAGAUAUCACGAAGAACUCCGAUUGCGAAGGCAGCCUGCUAAGCUGCAACUGACAUUGAGGCUCGAAAGUGUGGGUAUCAAACAGGAUUAGAUACCCUGGUAGUCCACACGGUAAACGAUGAAUACUCGCUGUUUGCGAUAUACAGCAAGCGGCCAAGCGAAAGCGUUAAGUAUUCCACCUGGGGAGUACGCCGGCAACGGUGAAACUCAAAGGAAUUGACGGGGGCCCGCACAAGCGGAGGAACAUGUGGUUUAAUUCGAUGAUACGCGAGGAACCUUACCCGGGCUUAAAUUGCAGAUGAAUUACGGUGAAAGCCGUAAGCCGCAAGGCAUCUGUGAAGGUGCUGCAUGGUUGUCGUCAGCUCGUGCCGUGAGGUGUCGGCUUAAGUGCCAUAACGAGCGCAACCCUUGUUGUCAGUUACUAACAGGUUCCGCUGAGGACUCUGACAAGACUGCCAUCGUAAGAUGUGAGGAAGGUGGGGAUGACGUCAAAUCAGCACGGCCCUUACGUCCGGGGCUACACACGUGUUACAAUGGGGGGUACAGAGGGCCGCUACCACGCGAGUGGAUGCCAAUCCCCAAAACCUCUCUCAGUUCGGACUGGAGUCUGCAACCCGACUCCACGAAGCUGGAUUCGCUAGUAAUCGCGCAUCAGCCACGGCGCGGUGAAUACGUUCCCGGGCCUUGUACACACCGCCCGUCA